rnacentral:misc_RNA from 1 species
CCAAUAGCGUAUAUUUAAGUUGUUGCAGUUAAAAAGCUCGUAGUUGAACUUCGGGAUCAAUUAGUUGGUCAUGCCUUGGUAUGUACUGAUUUUAUUGGUUCUCACCUUCUAAAGAACUAUAAUGUCAUUUAUUUGAUGUUAUAGGGAAUUAGGACUGUUACCUUGAAAAAAUUAGAGUGUUUAAAGCAGGCUCACGCUUGAAUACAUUAGCAUGGAAUAAUGAAAUAGGACAUCGCAUUCUAUUUUGUUGGUUUCUAGGAUCGAUGUAAUGAUUAAUAGGGAUAGUUGGGGGCAUUAGUAUUCAAUUGUCAGAGGUGAAAUUCUUGGAUUUAUUGAAGACUAACUACUGCGAAAGCAUUUGCCAAGGAUGUUUUCAUUAAUCAAGAACGAAAGUUAGGGGAUCGAAGACGAUCAGAUACCGUCGUAGUCUUAACCAUAAACUAUGCCGACUAGGGAUCGGAUGAUGUUGAUUUUUUAAUGACUCAUUCGGCACCUUACG